AUUGAACGCUGGCGGAAUGCUUUACACAUGCAAGUCGAACGGCAGCACGGGUGCUUGCACCUGGUGGCGAGUGGCGAACGGGUGAGUAAUACAUCGGAACGUACCCAGCCGUGGGCGGUAACGUAGCGGAAGCUACGCUACUACCGCAUCCGUCCUGAGGGAGAACGCGGCGGACCGUAAGGCCUCGCGCGAUUGGAGCGGCCGAUGGCGGAUUAGCUAGUUGGUGGGGUAAAGGCCUACCAAGGCGGCGACCCGUAGCGGGUCUGAGAGGACGGCCCGCCACACUGGAACUGAGACACGGUCCAGACUCCUACGGGAGGCAGCAGUGGGGAAUUUUGGACAAUGGGCGAAAGCCUGAUCCAGCCAUUCCGCGUGAGUGAAGAAGGCCUUCGGGUUGUAAAGCUCUUUCGGCAGGGAAGAAACGGCUUGGGAUACUACCCCGGGCUAAUGACGGUACCUGAAGAAGAAGCACCGGCUAACUACGUGCCAGCCGCCGCAGUAA
rnacentral:rRNA from 1 species